UACGGAGGGUGCAAGCGUUAUCCGGAUUCACUGGGUUUAAAGGGUGCGUAGGCGGGUUGGUAAGUCCGUGGUGAAAUCUCCGAGCUUAACUCGGAAACUGCCGUGGAUACUAUCAAUCUUGAAUAUCGUGGAGGUAAGCGGAAUAUGUCAUGUAGCGGUGAAAUGCUUAGAGAUGACAUAGAACACCAAUUGCGAAGGCAGCUGGCUACACAAAUAUUGACACUCAGGCACGAAAGCGUGGGGAUCAAACAGG
rnacentral:rRNA from 1 species